UGCAGUCGAGCGGACAGAUGGGAGCUUGCUCCCUGAUGUUAGCGGCGGACGGGUGAGUAACACGUGGGUAACCUGCCUGUAAGACUGGGAUAACUCCGGGAAACCGGGGCUAAUACCGGAUGCUUGUUUGAACCGCAGGUUCAAACAUAAAAGGUGGCUUCGGCUACCACUUACAGAUGGACCCGCGGCGCAUUAGCUAGUUGGUGAGGUAACGGCUCACCAAGGCAACGAUGCGUAGCCGACCUGAGAGGGUGAUCGGCCACACUGGGACUGAGACACGGCCCAGACUCCUACGGGAGGCAGCAGUAGGGAAUCUUCCGCAAUGGACGAAAGUCUGACGGAGCAACGCCGCGUGAGUGAUGAAGGUUUUCGGAUCGUAAAGCUCUGUUGUUAGGGAAGAACAAGUGCCGUUCAAAUAGGGCGGCACCUUGACGGUACCUAACCAGAAAGCCACGGCUAACUACGUGCCAGCAGCCGCGGUAAUACGUAGGUGGCAAGCGUUGUCCGGAAUUAUUGGGCGUAAAGGGCUCGCAGGCGGUUUCUUAAGUCUGAUGUGAAAGCCCCCGGCUCAACCGGGGAGGGUCAUUGGAAACUGGGGAACUUGAGUGCAGAAGAGGAGAGUGGAAUUCCACGUGUAGCGGUGAAAUGCGUAGAGAUGUGGAGGAACACCAGUGGCGAAGGCGACUCUCUGGUCUGUAACUGACGCUGAGGAGCGAAAGCGUGGGGAGCGAACAGGAUUAGAUACCCUGGUAGUCCACGCCGUAAACGAUGAGUGCUAAGUGUUAGGGGGUUUCCGCCCCUUAGUGCUGCAGCUAACGCAUUAAGCACUCCGCC
rnacentral:rRNA from 1 species